GAAGGGAGCGAAUAAACCCUGAACAGAUAAGAAACUCCUCCAGUGGCAGGAACAAGUCGUCCCGAACAUUUCCCCCGCAGCGCGUGCCAGACAGCAGAUAAUCACCGCAACAAGUUUCACUGCUGACCACAGACAAUGAACUUUGCAUAGGCAUCCGAGCUAUGCGUAUCACUGUCGUGGACGGUUUUGUUUUCCUCUGGGCUCCAUCUGUGGCUCGCACAGGUGUGUCGCCAUGGCUCGACACCAAGAGGGAGUGCUGAGUGAGCACAGACAACAGCUACUUUGUCUUUUCCUAAACAUCUUCAAGGUCCCCGUGGGGGGAUAAAUGUCCAGGAGGAGGUUGCCUUCCCAGGAGACACUCAUCUGCACAUUUGCAGGAUCCGACAGCCACGGCCCGCUGCCUCCACACGGCAGGCCGAGAGUGAAGGAAUCUUGUGAGUUAUUACAUCUGUUCUGCAUGUCCUCACGUAACUGACGAGCUUCUCUCCUCCCUGCCCUCCAGGCUCCGGCGGGCAGAGACGAGGCCCACGGCGCUCUUUGCACUCGCUGUUCCUUUUUCCUAUGCAUAUACCUUUUUCAGAUGUAACUUUAAAGAGGCAUAGGGCAUGGGAAAAUGGGGCUGCAGAGGUAUUCCACCGGGCAGACGGCCGUUUCAUCAUCCUCUCCGCAUGACAGCUGACCUCAAAGCACACACACUGGGCUCGGGCUGGCCGUGGACCUGCUGUAAGGAGGAUAGAGGGGUGCAAACUCCCCCACGCUCUGACCGCAGGUGAUUUUUUUGUGUCUCUGUGAUUUGUUUUCGUGUAAUACCAGAACUCAGAUUUCAUCACACUCAUCCUUGACAACGUUGUUGUGUGUUUGAAGUGAGGUGAUGUUAACUUUUUAUGCUACGUCAUUGUUCAUUUUAAAACAUCGUUUGCUUCUGGAUCAUUUGUCUGCUGUUUUGUUUUUGAAUAAAGGCAUCUUGACUUUAAUUACUGGA